rnacentral:rRNA from 1 species
UGGGGAAUAUUGGACAAUGGGCGCAAGCCUGAUCCAGCAAUGCCGCGUGUGUGAAGAAGGCCUGCGGGUUGUAAAGCACUUUCAGUAGCGACGAAAAGCUCGGGGCUAAUAUCCCCGGGUCUUGACUUAACCUACAGAAGAAGCACCGCCUAACUCCGUGCCAGCAGCCGCGGUAAUUCGGAGGGUGCAAGGGUUAAUCGGAAUUACUGGGCGUAAAGCGCGCGUAGGCGGUCGGGUCAGUCGGAUGUGAAAGCCCCGAGCUCAACUUGGGAACUGCAUUCGAUACUGCCCGGCUAGAGUAUGGGAGAGGGAAGUGGAAUUUCCGGUGUAGCGGUGAAAUGCGUAGAUAUCGGAAGGAACACCAGUGGCGAAGGUGACUUCCUGGCCCAAUACUGACGCUGAGGUGCGAAAGCGUGGGGAGCAAACAGGAUUAGAUACCCCCGUAGUCC